rnacentral:rRNA from 1 species
UACGUAGGGUCCGAGCGUUAAUCGGAAUUACUGGGCGUAAAGCGUGCGCAGGCGGUUUUGUAAGCCAGGUGUGAAAUCCCCGGGCUCAACCUGGGAAUGGCAUUUGGGACUGCAAGGCUGGAGUGCGGCAGAGGAGACUGGAAUUCCUGGUGUAGCAGUGAAAUGCGUAGAGAUCGGAAAGAACACCAACGGCGAAAGCACUCUGCUGGGCCGACACUGACACUGAGAGACGAAAGCUAGGGGAGCGAAUGGG